UACGUAGGGGGCUAGCGUUGUCCGGAUUUAUUGGGCGUAAAGAGCGUGUAGGCGGCCAGGUAGGUCUGCUGUGAAAACUCGAGGCUCAACCUCGAGACGUCGGCGGAAACCAUCUGGCUAGAGUCCGGAAGAGGAGAGUGGAAUCCUGGUGUAGCGGUGAAAUGCGCAGAUAUCAGGAAGAACACCCGUGGCGAAGGCGGCUCUCUGGGACGGUAC
rnacentral:rRNA from 1 species